rnacentral:rRNA from 1 species
UACAGGGGGGGGCAAGCGUUGUUCGGAAUUACUGGGCGUAAAGGGUCUGUAGGUGGCCAACUAAGUCAGACGUGAAAUCCCUCAGCUUAACUGGGGAACUGCGUCUGAUACUGGAUGGCUUGAGUGUGGGAGAGGAAUGCGGAAUUCCAGGUGUAGCGGUGAAAUGCGUAGAUAUCUGGAGGAACACCGGUGGCGAAGGCGGCAUUCUGGACCAUAACUGACACUGAGAGACGAAAGCCAGGGGAGCAAAUGGG